CAGGGCAGGUACAGCACAGGCAGCGACAGUGCGAGCUUUACCCACACUAUCCCAUCCAUGUGCCUCAACCUUGACCUGGAGGGACCACGUCCAGA
ensembl:misc_RNA